rnacentral:rRNA from 1 species
GUAGUAACAACCAUUUGAGUCUGGGAUUUCUGAAUGGGGAAACCCACGUGCAUAAGCACGUAUCCUUACCUGAAUACAUAGGGUAAGGAGGCGAACCGGGGGAACUGAAACAUCUAAGUACCCCGAGGAAAAGAAAUCAACCGAGAUUCCGAAAGUAGCGGCGAGCGAAAUUGGACUAGCCCUUAAGCUUUACACGCGUUAGACGAACGGUCUGGAAAGUCCGACGAUACAGGGUGAUAGUCCCGUAGUUGACGACGUGUGUUCAGUGAAAUCGAGUAGGGCGGGACACGUGAUAUCCUGUCUGAAUAUGGGGGGACCAUCCUCCAAGGCUAAAUACUACUGACUGACCGAUAGUGAACCAGUACCGUGAGGGAAAGGCGAAAAGAACCCCUGUGAGGGGAGUGAAAUAGAACCUGAAACCGUGUACGU